AACGAACGCUGGCGGCGUGCCUAACACAUGCAAGUCGAACGUGAAAGUCCUUCGGGAUGAGUAAAGUGGCGCACGGGUGAGUAAUGCGUAGAUAAUCUGCCUGGUGAUCAGGGAUAACACUUCGAAAGGGGUGCUAAUACCGGAUAAGCCCACGGAGUCCUAGGAUUCUGCGGGAAAAGGGGGGGACCUUCGGGCCUUCUGUCAUCAGAUGAGUCUACGUACCAUUAGCUAGUUGGUGGGGUAAGAGCCCACCAAGGCGACGAUGGUUAGCUGGUCUGAGAGGAUGAUCAGCGACACUGGAGCGGAGACACGGUCCAGACUCCUACGGGGGGCAGCCGUGGGGAAUUUUGCACAAUGGGGGAAACCCUGACGCAGCAACGCCGCGUGAGUGAUGAAGGCCUUCGGGUCGUAAAGCUCUGUCAGAGGGAAAGAAAUGUGGGUGGCUAAUAUCCAUUCCACUUGACGGUACCCUCAAAGGAAGCACCGGCUAACUCCGUGCCAGCCGCCGCCGUAAUAC
rnacentral:rRNA from 1 species